UACCAGCACCCCGAGUGGUCGGGACGAUUAUUGGGCCUAAAGCAUCCGUAGCCGGUUCUACAAGUCUUCCGUUAAAUCCACCUGCUUAACAGAUGGGCUGCGGAGGAUACUAUAGAGCUAGGAGGCGGGAGAGGCAAGCGGUACUUAGUGGGUAGGGGUAAAAUCCGUUGAUCCAUUGAAGACCACCAGUGACGAAGGCGGCUUGCCAGAAUGCGCUCGACGGUGAGGGAUGAAAGCUGGGGGAGCAAACCGG
rnacentral:rRNA from 1 species